rnacentral:rRNA from 1 species
AUUGAACGCUGGCGGAAUGCUUUACACAUGCAAGUCGAACGGCAGCACGGACUUCGGUCUGGUGGCGAGUGGCGAACGGGUGAGUAAUGUAUCGGAACGUGCCCAGUCGUGGGGGAUAACGUAGUGAAAAUUACGCUAAUACCGCAUACGAUCUAUGGAUGAAAGCGGGGGAUCGCAAGACCUCGCGCGAUUGGAGCGGCCGAUAUCAGAUUAGGUAGUUGGUGGGGUAAAGGCCCACCAAGCCAACGAUCUGUAGCUGGUCUGAGAGGACGACCCGCCACUCUGGAACUGAGACACGGUCCAGACUCCUACGGGAGGCAGCAGUGGGGAAUUUUGGACAAUGGGCGAAAGCCUGAUCCAGCCAUUCCGCGUGCAGGAUGAAGGCCCUCGGGUUGUAAACUGCUUUUGUACAGAACGAAAAGGUUUCUACUAAUACUAGGAGCUCAUGACGGUACUGUAAGAAUAAGCACCGGCUAACUGCGCGCCAGCAGCCGCCGUAA